UACGGAGGGUGCAAGCGUUGUCCGGAUUUAUUGGGUUUAAAGGGUGCGUAGGCGGCCUUGUAAGUCAGUGGUGAAAGCCUCCAGCUCAACUGGAGAACUGCCAUUGAUACUGCAAGGCUUGAGUACAGACGAGGUUGGCGGAAUUGGUUGUGUAGCGGUGAAAUGCAUAGAUACAAUCAAGAACUCCGAUUGCGUAGGCAGCUCGCUGAGCCGAAACUGACGCUGAGGCACGAAAGCGUGGGGAGCGAACAGG
rnacentral:rRNA from 1 species